rnacentral:rRNA from 1 species
GACGUAGGAUGCAAGCGUUGUUCGGAUUUAUUGGGCGUAAAGCGUACGUAGGCGGCUAUCUAAGUCUGGUGUUAAAGCUAGGGGCUCAACCCCUGUGUUGCACUGGAAACUGGGUGGCUUGAGAACGGUAGGGGAAGGUGGAAUUCCGAGUGUAGCGGUGAAAUGCGUAGAUAUUCGGAAGAACACCGGUGGCGAAGGCGACCUUCUGGGCCGUUUCUGACGCUGAGGUACGAAAGCGUGGGGAGCAAAC